rnacentral:snoRNA from 15 species
GGUGAUGGGUCUUUCCUCCGGAUGAUUGAAUAUGAACUUACUGUGCGCCAUUCUUUCCUCGAAGGAGGAGAUAAGCCAGGACUCUGAUCUCC